rnacentral:snRNA from 8 species
CCCCCCUCGGGGGACUACAUAUAAAAUGGGAUUUUUUCGAACAGGGAGUCUGAAAUGGGGCUUGUUCCGCCCGCUCCACGCAUCGACCCGGUAUUGCAGUACCUCCGGGAAUGGUGCAACACUU